AGAAUCAACGCUGGCGGCGUGCCUCAGACAUGCAAGUCGUACGAUUAAAGCUCUCUUCGGAGAGUGCAUAAAGUGGCGUACGGGUGAGUAACACGUAAGUAAUCUACCUUUGAGUGGGAAUAACAGUCGGAAACGACUGCUAAUACCGCAUAAUGCAGCGGCUCGACAUCGAGACAGUUGUUAAAGAAUUUAUUCGCUUAAAAGAGGAGCUUGCGGCAGAUUAGCUAGUUGGUAAGGUAAUGGCUUACCAAGGCAACGAUCUGUA
rnacentral:rRNA from 1 species